AGAGUUUGAUCCUGGCUCAGAACGAACGCUGGCGGCGCGCUUAACACAUGCAAGUCGAGCGAGAAAAGUUGGGGCUUCGGCCUGGCGAGUAAAGCGGCGCACGGGUGAGUAACACGUGAGUAACCUCUCCCCAAACCUGGGAUAACACCGCGAAAGUGGUGCUAAUACCGGAUAAGACCACGCCUUCUUCGGCGGGCGCGGUCAAAGGUUGCCUAUCCAAGGAAGCUGCUGUUUGGGGUGGGCUCGCGGCCCAUUAGCUUGUUGGUAGGGUAAUGGCCUACCAAGGCGACGAUGGGUAGCUGGUCUGAGAGGACGACCAGCCACACUGGAACUGGAACACGGUCCAGACUCCUACGGGAGGCAGCAGUGGGGAAUAUUGCACAAUGGGGGAAACCCUGAUGCAGCAACGCCGCGUGGAUGAUGAAGGCCUUCGGGUCGUAAAAUCCUGUCAGAUGGAAAGAAGUGCAUAGUGGGUUAAUACCCGCUAUGUUUGACGGUACCAUCGAAGGAAGCACCGGCUAACUCCGUGCCAGCAGCCGCGGUAAUA
rnacentral:rRNA from 1 species